GGAGAAGCCCCUGCCCUGGGCAGUGCCCCCAGGACUGUCCAACCUGAGAAUGGUGAGUCCAGGGUCCAUCUCAGGCUCGUCAGCCCGUGAGGUGCUGCCCCCUCCCCAGCGCUGCCGGA
rnacentral:pre_miRNA from 15 species